rnacentral:rRNA from 1 species
GAUGAACGCUGGCGGCGUGCCUAAUACAUGCAAGUCGAGCGGACGGACGAGAAGCUUGCUGCGUUGAUGUUAGCGGAGGACGGGUGUGUAACACGUGUAUAACCUCCUUGUAUUACUGAUAUAACUUCGGGAAACCGGAGCUUAUACCGGAUAAUAUUUUGAACCGCAUGGUUCAAAAGAAAAUGACGGUCUUGCUGUCACUUCUAGAUGGAUCCGCGCUGCAUUAGAUAGUAGUUAAGUUAACAGCCUACGACGGGAACGAUGCAUAACCGAGGUGAGAGGGGGAUAGGCCACAUGGGAACUGAGACACGGUCCAGAGUACUACGGGAGGCACCAGUCGGGAAUGGUAGGCAGUGGGGGAAAGCCUUACGGAGCAAGGCCGCGUGAGUGAUGACGGCCUCGGGUGCGUAAAACUCUGUUAUUAGGGAAGAACCGAUGUGUACGGAGACGUGGCGAGCGUGACGGUAACUAAUAAGAAAGCAACGGCUAACUACGUG